AACAUGCAAGUCAGCUAAGACCAGUCAUGUGGAGUUUGUCCAUAAAAGAAAGUGCAUUUUUUGAGUUAAAAUACCUCAUAAUUACUGCUAAACUAAAACUAGAACUAAAUUUAAAAGUCUAUCCUAGUUAAAAGUGUGUAAAACAAGUGGAUUAAGUGCGUCAGCAAACAAGUAAUCAGAAGUUAAUUAAAUAGUACGGCUUCUAAAAUAUCUAGUUUCCUGAGCGCCUAUAAUCUACUGGAACAUACUAAGAUACUCAAACGAACAUAGAACACAUUAAAACAGCUAAAUUUUGCUGCCUUCAUUAUUAUUUCUAUUGCGAGCAAGCAAGUCACGAGUCAGAGACACUAAACGAGUUUUUUAACUUCGUUAUCAACAAAUAUACGUCGUUCAAAAAAUCGGACACCUGUCUCUCAUUCGUUGCAAUUGCAACACUUC